rnacentral:lncRNA from 1 species
GGGGCGGGCGCCAGAAACGCCCGGAACCUUCUGGAACCAGCGGGUCCCACUCAGAGCCGGUGGUGUUCUGAGUUCUUGCAGCAGUGUUGCUGCCGUCCGGGAGAGAGAAGGUGCUUCAGGACUGACAGGAAAGAAAGAAGUGAUGCUUUGAAUACUGCAAUAGACAGUAUGUGCAAGAAGACAAGAGAUCUUCGCAGACAGGUAAAUCUCCUGGGGAACUGGUAGAAAAAGUAGACUUAAGGACUUGCCUA